GUAGUGGCGAAUGAAGCGGGAAAAGCUCAAGUUUGAAAUCUGGGACUUGUCUCAGAGUUGUAAGCUGAAGAAGUGUCGACCGACAUGGUCUGGGUCCAAUUUCUUUGGAACAAGAUGUCAUGGAGGGUGAGAACCCCGUCUGUGGCUCGGAUACCAUUGUCCUUGUGUCGUAUCUUCGAAGAGUCGGGUUGUUUGGGAAUGCAGCUCAAAAUGGGUGGUAAAUUUCAUCUAAGGCUAAAUAUUGGCGAGAGACCGAUAGCAAACAAGUAGAGUGAUCGAAAGAUGAAAAGUACUUUGAAAAGAGAGUGAAACAGUACGUGAAAUUGUUGAAAGGGAAGCGUUUGGCAUCAGCCCAUGGCACCCGUCGAUCAUCCAGGCUUCUGUCUGGUGCACUUGUCGGGUGUCGGGCCAGCGUCGACUUUGCCUGCUGGAUAAAGGCCUUGGGAAUGUGUCUCCCCUGGGAGAGUUACAGCCCUUGGUGUCAUGCAGUGUGGUGGGGUCGUGGUCCGCGGUUUAUCCUAGGACGCUGGCGUAAUGGUUCCAAGCGACCCGUCUUGAAACACGGACCAAGGAGUCUAACAUCUAUGCGAGUGUUUGGGUGUCAAGCCCGUCCGCGCAAUGAAAGUGAAUGCAGGCGGGAGCCUUUAGAGGGCGCACCGCCGACCGGUCCGGGGGUUUACCGAAGGAUCUGAGUAAGAGCAUAGCUGUUGGGACCCGAAAGAUGGUGAACUAUGCCUGAAUAGGGUGAGGCC
rnacentral:rRNA from 1 species